rnacentral:rRNA from 1 species
GACGAACGCUGGCGGCGUGCUUAACACAUGCAAGUCGAACGGAAAGGCCCCUUUGGGGGUUCUCGAGUGGCGAACGGGGGAGUAACACGUGAGUAACCUGCCCUGGACGUCGGGAUAACUGUAGGAAACCGGGGCCAAUACCGGAUAGGAAUCCUUGCGGCAUGGUGGGGGUUGGAAAGCUUCGGCGGUUUUGGAUGGACUGGCGGCUUAUCAGCUUGUUGGUGGGGUAGUGGCUUACCAAGGCGAUGACGGGUAGCUGGCCUGAGAGGGCGACCGGCCACACUGAGUCUGACGUACGGCCCAGGUUCCUACGGGAGGCAGCAGUGGGGAAUCUUGCUCCAUGGGCGGCAGCCUGAUGCAGCAACGCCGCGUGCGGGAUGACGGCCUUCGUGUUGUGAACCGCUUUCAGCAGGGGCGAUGCUUGUGGUGACGGUACCUGCAGAAGAAGCACCGGCUAACUUCGUG